rnacentral:antisense_RNA from 1 species
AAAAUAUCAAUAAUAUCGUUUAAAUUUGAGAAAUUCUGAGAAUUCUUAUAAUUCCAAUAUUCAUGUGUAAAGUCCCAUUCAUAUUCAACAACAUCUUUAGAUACAGAGCUAUUUUUGGCAUUCAAAACAGAUGAUGAAAGCCUCUUUCCUUUAGCAAACCAUCUUGGCACAGCAGAAUUUCCAGUCUUUUCUCUUUUUCUUUGCUUUUCUUCUAAUAGUCCUUUAAUGAUUUGAGCCCCAUCCACGUCUCCAGAUUCGUAUAAUCUCUGAUCAGGCCUAAAUCUACUGUCAGUUAUUGGUAUGUUUGCACCUUUUUCUGGAUUGUAAUCAUCUGAUAUUUCAUUCAAUUCAAGAGCCAUAUAUGUUAAGAAAAAAUUAUGUGAAUUAUCUCCAUUAUUAGGAUGCGGGUUACAUCUCCAAACAACAUUUGAUUUGGAAUAUGGAUGAAAUGAAUCAUUUUGAGAUUUCGUUGAAGAAAUUUGGAUUUCUUGGUCUGACUGUCCUUCAAUGCAGAAUAACCUCUGAUUAUCCUCGUUAUAGACUGAGCCUGUUACAAUAUUUCGUCUUUUACCACGCUUUGAGUUUUCUAAGCUACUAUUAUAUUUAUUCAAUGAAUAUGAAUUAUUUGAAUCUGAGAAAAAUGAGGUCUUUCCUCUAUAACCAUGAUUUUUCGAUGUUACAUUAACAUCUCCUAACCAUUCCAACCAUGUAGAACCAAAAAUAAUAUUAUGAAUAAUGCAAUUAGGUCGUUCCCAAGAAUAUUCCUCCUCUCCAUCAGCGGUCCUGAUCUUUAAAUGAACAGUUCCUUGUGGAAGAAUGGACAGACUGUUUGGUCCAAACGACAUAGUUGACCAAACUGUCCCCCAAUAGACCCAACUUCCAUCAUCUGAUUCUGCAUGAUAUGCUGCAACAGGAGGAUGAUGCAUAACUUGCUCUGCAAUAAAUUUGAACCCUCUAUGAGUUAGUUCAAAUGUCUCUCCUAAUAGGGGAUUGAAAGGCUUUGAAAGUCUCAAAAAUGUUGAAGAAAUCGCUGAAGAUGCAAAUACCGUUAUAUAUGCAACUCUUUCAUCAACAGAUUUGGAAUUACUUGCUUUUUUCAGUAAAUCAUGGUAUUCUAAAUCCUCAGAAAGUCUUUGUAUAAAGGAUAAAGGCUCAUUUAAGCAUAUAGGCAUAGAUAUCCUUGAAAGAUCUUUUCCAAAAACUUGCCUCAUCAUUGAUAAAAGCGAGAAUUUGGCAGAUGUUUUUGGAACCGGAAGGUUCCGUCUCCUAGUAAUAUUACAUGUUUCUUCUUUUUCUAUAUCUUCGUUUUCAACACAAGUUUUUGUUGUAUUUAGCCUUUCAACAGAUAAUUCAUCUUCACUUUCUUUAAUACUAACAAAACUUUCCUCACUAUUUGUUUUCAUUACUUUAUUUUUUUCAAUGAGCGAAUUACUAUUGCUUGAUUCUAUUAUAGAA